rnacentral:rRNA from 1 species
GACGAACGCUGGCGGCGUGCUUAACACAUGCAAGUCGAACGGAAAGGCCCUGCUUUUGUGGGGUGCUCGAGUGGCGAACGGGUGAGUAACACGUGAGUAACCUGCCCUUGACUUUGGGAUAACUUCAGGAAACUGGGGCUAAUACCGGAUAGGAGCUCCUGCUGCAUGGUGGGGGUUGGAAAGUCUCGGCGGUUGGGGAUGGACUCGCGGCUUAUCAGCUUGUUGGUGGGGUAGUGGCUUACCAAGGCUUUGACGGGUAGCCGGCCUGAGAGGGUGACCGGCCACAUUGGGACUGAGAUACGGCCCAGACUCCUACGGGAGGCAGCAGUGGGGAAUAUUGCACAAUGGGUGGAAGCCUGAUGCAGCAACGCCGCGUGCGGGAUGACGGCCUUCGGGUUGUAAACCGCUUUCGCCUGUGACGAAGCGUGAGUGACGGUAAUGGGUAAAGAAGCACCGGCUAACUACGUG